rnacentral:rRNA from 1 species
CACGUAGGGCACAAGCGUUGUCCGGAAUUAUUGGGCGUAAAGAGCUCGUAGGCGGUCUGUUGCGUCCGCUGUGAAAACUCGGGGCUUAACCCCGAGCCUGCAGUGGAUACGGGCAGACUAGAGGUAGGUAGGGGAGAAUGGAAUUCCCGGUGUAGCGGUGAAAUGCGCAGAUAUCGGGAGGAACACCGGUGGCGAAGGCGUAUCCGGCGUCCUGCGCGAGCG